GGGAGCAGGGCUUGGGGAGGGCCCCGGCGUACUGGGGCGGUUCAGUCGCCUCAGCCGCGGUGUGAGGGAGCGGGAGUCUUCCUUAGCUUCUCCGCCAUGGGUGUCGCUUCGUAGCCGGGCUGCUCCGGGAAAGGCCUCGUACAGCACGCAUUCACCAGAAUCCUGUCAGCUUUCCUCUUCUCAUCCAGACGCCUGGCCAGGAUCCUCGAUAAGACCGUGACCCCCAACUUGGACACCCCAUAAGGGUCUUCUCUGUCGCCCAGGCUGGAGUGCAGUGCUGCAGUCGUGGCUCACUGUAGCGUCAGUCUCCUGAGCUCAGGAAAACUAGACAAUCCACCAGCCCAGGAGGGGACAAGCAGGCUUAUUCCUCCUCCUCGUCAUCUCUGGCUCCAGCCCCACCCUGGCCCUUGCUGGCAUUCUUCCUCUUCACGUGGCUGGGGUUGGCCACCCCAAUAGGGAAGCAGAGGGAGAAGUCAAUGUGCUUCUGGGAAUCCAGGCGGACAGUGAAGAACAGGAUAUUUACCACCUGCUCACGGACACGGAUAUGACACUGUUGAAUCAGCACAUGAGCGUGGCGGAUGGACUUAGCCAAGCCAAGCUUGAAGACCUGGGUCUGUAGGAAUCUCUAAGAAAUCAUUGAUCUUCAGGCCCAGGAUGUAAUCCAGCUUCAUCUUGCCCUCAUCCAGCACCCCAGUGCGGACCAGCCACUGCAGCAGGGCAAUGCCUUCGAACAGACGCCGUGGGUCCUUCUCAUCAAGCGUCAGCAGCUCCCGGGCGGCCUUAUGGAUCUUGACCAGGGUAAAUUUGACCCUCCAGACCUCACAUUUGUUCUGGAGCCCAUACUCACCAAUCAGCUUUAGCUUUUGGUCGAGAUGAGGUUUCUCGAAGGGUCUCUGCAGGGUCACAUAAGUUUGGCAACAAACCCAGCUCUGGGCCGCUGGCAUGUUGGCUCCACUUGCCCGUCUAUGCCUAAGCACAGGCCCUGGUCACUGAGAAAGAGCUCAAAUUUUUUAUAUAUUUCAUCUAAGGUGUUGAUUCUAUUGAUACCCUUAUCCUUUUAACAUGCCCUUAUCCUUUUAAUGUUGGUAAUGAUGCUACCUGUCAUUUCUGAGACUGGUUUGUGUCUUUCGUGUUUUUUUCUGAUCUGUCUGGCUAGAGGUUUACCAAUUGAUUUGAUUUUCCUCAAACUUCUGGUUACAAUGAUUCUCUCUCUCUCUCUUUUCCUGAUUAUAUUAAUUUCUGUUCUGAUCUUUGUUUCCUUUCUUCUGCUUACUGGAUUUUAUUUGCUCUUUUUCUGGUUUCUUACUGUAAAGGCAGAAGUCAUUGAUUUGCAUUGAUUUGAGACUUCUUUUCUAAUGUAGGCAGUAAGUGGUGUAAAUUCCCUUUUAGUAUGACUUUAGUGGCAUCUCACAUUGAUAUGUUUUCAAUUUCAUUCAGUUUAUUUUUAUUUAUUUUUUAAAUUAUUUAUUUAUUUAUUUAUUUUGAGUUGUGUAGCCCUUUAUUAGCAACUAAAAUAGAAGGUAUCUGUUGUACAACAUGGGUAGUAAUUGACUAUAACUGGAGAUUUAUUAUAUUCUAAUACAGAUCAUUUAUAAAUGCAAUUUCUUUAUUAAAAA
ensembl:lncRNA CBR3-AS1 CBR3 antisense RNA 1